GGGGGGAUCGUCUAGUCUGGUAGGAUUGCACCUUCGGGAGGUGCAGGCGAGAGUUCAAAUCUCUCUCCCCCCG
rnacentral:tRNA from 1 species